AUCCCCAACAAUAGAAUCUAUAUAAUUUAGCAUUAGUCUUUCUAUUAUCUUUCUUAUCUCCUAAGUUUUUGUCAUUAUUUGUCUAAACUCUAAACGGUUAUUUAGCUCGUGUACUCAACUUUUAAACACUAACAGUGGUGUGGUGUUUCUGUUUAACCUUCUAUUUAAAUGACCAUUUUAUCCGUUUAAGUGAUCGUCUUGGCUGAGGCUAAACGACAUGCAACUAAUUGUUUGUCAUUCAAUGUUAGGAUCUAGUGCUAAUUAAUGUUGCCCCCGUUUAACUACUUGUUUUAUUGUGAUUUUUUUCCUGGCCAAAGAAAUAGAUUGAUUAGGUGAAGGUUAGAGGCCUAAGACUAAUUAAUUUAUCUUUAUUUUUUUAUUUUUUAUUUUUUUUAUCGUAACGCAAACGUUUAUUUUGCUGCUAUGUACACUUUUAUCAUGUAAUAUUUUAAUACACAUGAUUCUUCUUGGUUUGCACGGCCCCCCCUAUGUUUAAAUUCUAGCUCCGCCCCUGAUCGUGACUAUGGGGUAAUUGGGACUGGCUUGCUUUCGUUUUUGCAGUUUCACUGUAGCUCUAUGUUGCCAAACACUUUCAACUCUAAGAACUCUCUUUAAGAAAAAUUCUAUAAAUUAACUCUAUGUUUUUUUCUCCAGCACUUCAAGAGGUACUCCACCUUUUGGAGUUUUGUAUCUCAGGCCUUGUUUAGUUCGCAAAAUUUUUGAUUUUUGGCUACUGUAGCACUUUCGUUUUAUUUGACAAUUAUUAUCCAAUUACGGAGUAACAAGGCUCAAAAGAUUCAUCUCGCAAAUUACAGGUAAACUGUGCAAUUAGUUUUUACUUUCGUCUAUAUUUAAUGCUCUAUGCAUACGACUAAAGAUUCGAUGUGACGGAAAAUCUUGAAAAUUUUUGCCAACUAAACAAGACCUCAUCAUGGAGUUGUCCACCUUUUGGAGUUUUGUAUCUCAUCAUGGAGUUGCAGAGAAAUUACAUAUCUGUCAGUCACUCAUUAAUGAAACCACCGUAUUACAUUCUCCCUCGGCCAGCCUACCUCAUGGACGCGUACACGUGAUAUUCUAAUGGCCAUGUCCAUGUACGGUUACGUCAAUUGUUUAAAAAAAGUACGGUUACGUGAUAAAUUCUAAUGACCAUUUUUUUAUAUAUUUAUCUAGUGUACGCAAGGUUAAUUAAUUCACUCGAAGCCUAGCUUAGAGUAGAGUACAUACGUGGAUGUAUAUGCAGCGUAUAUACGAGUGUCAGAAAAAACUUUUUAAUUACUUCAUUUUUGCUAGUUUCAGAUAUAUAUGUUAUAAAUAUGAAGACAUACACGAAACAACAAAUGAGUUCUUGGAAAAUGUUUGCAGAUUUUGUAGAGUGGGAUAUACCCCACAAAAUAUAUUAGACCAUUCUCUACAAAAUCUCUCGUUUCUAGAGUGGAAUCAAGCUGCAUGCCAAAAAGUUUCAUUUACUCUAGAAACUCCAUUGCGAAGCUACGAUGGAGUUAGUGAAGUAGAGCUAGAAAAAUUGGAGAAGAACAAUCCCACACUACCACAAAACUGAAUACCCUUGAGGGUCAAAAACCCUCAAGAAAACCCCUAAAACCGUCAAGAAAAUCAAUAUUAGCGGCU
rnacentral:lncRNA from 1 species